CCGGCGACCGGCGCACGGGUGAGUAACACGUAUGCAACCUGCCCUCCGCAGGGGGAUAACCCGGAGAAAUCCGGACUAAUACCGCGUGGUACACCAGUGGGGCAUCCCACUGGUGUUAAAAGGAAGUGAUUCCGGCGGAGGAUGGGCAUGCGGCGCAUUAGCUUGUUGGCGGGGUAACGGCCCACCGAGGCGACGAUGCGUAGGGGUUCUGAGAGGAAGGUCCCCCACACUGGUACUGAGACACGGACCAGACUCCUACGGAAGGCAGCAG
rnacentral:rRNA from 1 species